GGCAUUUAUUUAUUUAUUUUGACACAUGGCAAGAUCACCAUCUGUUAGUUGAAUCUGCUGAUCGGGGGCCCUGCUAGUUUUAUCAUCCACCCAGCAAAAUGUUACUUCCUGAAAUCUGACGUAAGACUCUUCCUCAGUGAUCUCGGCAAGUAGCAAUGAAAACUAGCAGCAUCUAGAAAACCGUCAUUAAAAAAAAAUUACAAAUAGUCCUGCCCAUUUUAAUUUCUUCACCGUUCCCCUGGAGUAUUCCAUAAAGGCAAGCUGGAUCAAGAGGCCAAAGUAGGAUAUGGGACUCCAUUCCUACCCGAUCUGAAUUAGCGCAAAACAGAUUCCCAGAGAAUAAAUGGCUUCUUGUAAUUACUCUCCUUCAGAGGAAUUUGAGGACUUGAGAAUUUGAGGACCUGAGAUCACCCAUAAAUGCUCCAAACAGCUGCUCUUCAUGAUGAGAUUACAAGUUAGUUUCAGGCCUGAUCUCCCUCAGGAGAUGAGGGAAUAACCAUUUUGCUCAAACUGAGAUAAGUGUCUUUGAACAGGCACUAAGUGUGCACUCUUCCUUUUCUAAUCACAUUUGGAAAUCGCUUGUUAACUCUUUUUCAACUAUUACAAACCUUUGGAUCAACCAAUUUUACAGCACCAGUUUGUAACCUUUGGGACGAAACCAUCUCCUGAAAUUUUGGUCCUUUUUGCAGUAUCAAAUAUAAUUCCGAGGAAGAGAGAGAGAAAGGGAGGAAAACUGCCAGAGACUUGGCAAGAGGAAACAGCACUAAUACAGAAAGAGAGAGCAGGGAAACUCUAGUCACAGAAGAAGUGUGAACACCAUUGUCCAGGGGUAAUCUGGCACAGAAUCUUUAACAAUUUACACAUCAUUACUGAGCACUACGGGAAGAGUGUCAACAAUUUCUCAAUUUUAGCUGAUGAAGGUCUUUGCCCUAGGUGAACAUUAACCUACGCAAGUAAGACAAUGC